UACGGGGGGGCAAGCGUUGUUCGGAAUUACUGGGCGUAAAGGGCUCGUAGGCGGCCAACUAAGUCAGACGUGAAAUCCCUCGGCUUAACCGGGGAACUGCGUCUGAUACUGGUUGGCUUGAGUGUGGGAGAGGGAUGCGGAAUUCCGAGGUGUAGCGGUGAAAUGCGUAGAUAUCUGGAGGAACACCGGUGGCGAAGGCGGCAUCCUGGACCAUUACUGACGCUGAGGAGCGAAAGCCAGGGGAGCAAACGGG
rnacentral:rRNA from 1 species